UACGUAGGGUGCAGGCGUUAAUCGGAAUUACUGGGCGUAAAGCGUGCGCAGGCGGUUUGCUAAGACAGGUGUGAAAUCCCCGGGCUUAACCUGGGAACUGCGCUUGUAACUGGCAAGCUAGAGUGUGGCAGAGGGGGGUGGAAUUCCACGUGUAGCAGUGAAAUGCGUAGAGAUGUGGAGGAACACCGAUGGCGAAGGCAGCCCCCUGGGCUAACACUGACGCCCAUGCACGAAAGCGUGGGGAACAAACAGG
rnacentral:rRNA from 1 species